UCGGGAAUUUUGGGCAAUGGGCGAAAGCCUGACCCAGCAACGCCGCGUGAAGGAUGAAGUAUUUCGGUAUGUAAACUUCGAAAGAAUAGGAAGAAUAAAUGACGGUACUAUUUAUAAGGUCCGGCUAACUACGUGCCAGCAGCCGCGGUAAUACGUAGGGACCAAGCGUUAUUCGGAAUCACUGGGCUUAAAGGGUGCGUAGGCGGCGAUUCAAGUCAGGUGUGAAAUGCCUGAGCUCAACUGAGGCAUUGCGCUUGAAACUGAAUUGCUAGAGUAUCCCAGGGGUGUGCGGAACUGCCAGUGGAACGGUGAAAUGUGUUGAUAUUGGCAGGAACACCGGAGGCGAAAGCGGCACACUGGGGGAUAACUGACGCUGAGGCACGAAAGCCAAGGGAGCGAACGGGAUUAGAUACCCUAGUAGUCCCUGAGCGGGCUGGCAAGGCGCAU
rnacentral:rRNA from 1 species